rnacentral:rRNA from 1 species
UACGUAGGGUGCAAGCGUUAAUCGGAAUUACUGGGCGUAAAGCGUGCGCAGGCGGUUAUGCAAGACAGAUGUGAAAUCCCCGGGCUUAACCUGGGAACUGCAUUUGUGACUGCAUAGCUAGAGUACGGUAGAGGGGGAUGGAAUUCCGCGUGUAGCAGUGAAAUGCGUAGAUAUGCGGAGGAACACCGAUGGCGAAGGCAGUCUCCUGGACCUGUACUGACGCUCAUGCACGAAAGCGUGGGGGAGCAAACAGG